AUGUACAUAUGUGUACCUAUAGCAAAGCUGAACAAAUAGAACUCUACAAAGCGCUCCCAAAACCUCUUCCCGUCUAAAACCCUAAACCCUAACUUUUGCACCCCCUUUCUAAUUCGACUCCAUGCCUCAAAACCCUCACAAAAAUUAGAUCUUUCGCAACAAGAGAGAGAGAGAGAGAGAGAGAGAGUGAGAGAGAGACCAUGCCUCUGGUGCCGAUAUGGGACUUGCCGGACGUGCCCAAGGGAGAGCUCCCACCCCACCUCGAACUCCAAAGAACUCGGGUCCUCUGCAACUCCGAUGCUCCCAUUCAUACAGAGAAUGUACAAUACUCUGGUGCUUAUGCUUCCAUGGGAGUUGAUAACAGUGUAAGGUUGGACCAAUUCCGAAAUAACUUCAAAGUGGAAGUGAUUCGACUUAGUGAGGAUGAGAUUGAGUUUGACAUGAUAGGUAUUGAUGCUGCCAUCGCUAAUGCUUUCCGAAGGAUUCUCAUAGCUGAGCUUCCAACGAUGGCUAUUGAAAAGGUUCUUAUUGCAAACAAUACCUCAGUAAUCCAAGACGAGGUGCUUGCUCAUAGAUUGGGUCUCAUCCCAAUCAAGGUUGACCCAAGACUGUUUGACUAUAUGUCAGAAAUUGAUGAACCUAAUGAAAAGAACACCAUUGUUUUCAAGCUCCACGUUCGUUGUAAAAUUGGUGGUCGACGUCUAACUGUAAAAUCAGAUGAGCUGAAAUGGUUGCCAAAUGGAAGUGAGUUCCCUCUUUCUGCAGAAAAGUCAACAUCAACAUCAACAUCAGCUUCAAACUCAAAACCAAAGACAUAUACGUCAUUUCGUUGCAGCCAAGAUUCGUUGCCAGUAUUCUCUAAUGAUCCAAUUGCACCCAAGCACCCAGACAUUAUCGUUGCUAAACUUGGAUCAGGGCAGGAAAUCGAGUUGGAAGCACAUGCUGUUAAAGGCAUGGGUAAAACACAUGCAAAGUGGUCCCCUGUGGCAACUGCUUGGUAUAGGAUGCUCCCCGAGGUUGAAUUGUUGCAAGAACUCAAAGGAGAGAUGGCAGAAAAGCUUGUAAAGAAAUGUCCUGUCAACGUAUUUGAUAUUGAAGAUUUGGGUAAUGGUAAGAAGAGGGCAACCGUGGCUCGUCCACGAGCUUGUACACUUUGUAGGGAAUGCAUCCGAGAGGAGGGAUGGGACAAGUAUGUGGCCCUACAUCGCGUGAAAGAUCAUUUCAUCUUUACCAUAGAGUCAACCGGAGCAUUACCUCCUGAAGUGCUGUUCACUGAAGCUGUGAAGAUUUUGGAAGACAAGUGCGAGCGCGUGAUAACUGAGCUCUCAUGAUGUUUCUGUGUGUUGAAUGUAAAACGCUUUCUGCUUAAGGAUUAUGAUGAGUCUGUUGAAAGGUUUCAUGAGAAUGGGAGUUGAGCACAAAAUUAAAACCCUAGAGUUUCUAUUGAUUGCCCGUUGUGGAUGUUUCACCAAGGAUGAAGAGAAAUCCCACGUGUCCUUGUAACUGUCGUCCAGUGAGAAAAGAAGUGCAGUAAUCACCAAAACACAAUUGGCAAUCCGUAUGUUAAACAACUGUGGUGAAUUUUUUACUUAGUGAAGGUAGGCAAGCAUCGUUUGUGAAGCAAUCUUUGCCGGCUUUUGGGCUUUCACUUCCAGUUCUUGUAUCUUCUCUCUCUCUCUCUCUCUCUCUCUCUCUCUCUCUACAUACCGGCAUAGAUGGCUAAAGUGAUGGGUUUUCACGGUAAAUGUUAUGAAUUGUUAUGG